CCAACGGGGAGAUCAUGACCUGAGCUGAAGUCCAGCGCAUAACUGACUGACCCACCCAGGUACCAUCUUGAACAUCUUCUUCAAAGUGCUUUGAACUCGUUUUCCCCACUAAGAACUGUGCGAGAAAAUACAUGGCUUGGUCCACUUUUAUCAACUUUUUGGUUCUGAAGAUGUUCCCAGACCAAAGCACAAACUGAUUUAGCAGUGAUUUAUAACUACUGUCUAUGGAGUUUUCACUAUGUAUCAGCAUUGUGAGAAACAUUUUACAUUUAAUUGUUUUUUCAUUGCAUCAUCAUGAAAAUCAUUUGAAGUAAACAUUA